rnacentral:pre_miRNA from 1 species
GCAAGAUGGACCAUUUUUAGGCCUUGAAAUCCAUUUUUGUCAGAUCCAAGAACAUCAAGUUGGAGAUGAUUUAUUUGUAGGUUUCUGCCUUUUGAAUUGAGUUCUUCGUCAAGAUUUAAGGUGUGUUAUUGGAAAAGCAUUUCAUAAAGCCUCAAUUUUACAAAUUGACAUCUCAAGUUUAGCCAUGAAAUUGGUUUUUGAGUGCUGGAAAACUUGCAAAUUGAUCAUCUCAACCUCGAUUAUCAUGGACUUGAAAGAAAAUGGAUUUCAAGCUCUAAAAAUAGUUCAUCUUGC